UUAGAAUAAUCAGGUGAAGCAUUUACAAGAAGUGUAGGAGGAUUAUCCAUCAAACAUACCAUUACCAGAAUUGCAUGUGCUUCCCCUAUUAAGAGAUCUGGGAGUCCACGAAAAGAUACAUGGUUGAAAUUUAUAUUCAAGUUCCUUAAAUUCAUCUAUAAUGGUCCCUACGCGUGGUACAAUCCUGUUAGAGGUAUGGAAUAAUUGAUAAAAGCAUCCUCUUCAAUGAUAACACCACUAUAUUCCUAUGUACUAACAAUCUGAAGUUUCUAUCAAAU
rnacentral:lncRNA from 1 species